GGUAACUUCACAUAUCUUUUCCUUUUUCUUUUUUGAGACAGUCCCAUUUUAAUCUUUUCAUAAACAGUAUUAUUAAGGGUUAAAUGACAUAACUGUAUUUAUUUAAAAAUGCAGUUUGAUAAGCUUUUACAUAGGAAUACACUUGUUUCCAUCAUUGCCACAACAAGGAUAAUGAAGAUUUACAUUCACUCAAAAGCUUCCUGCGUUCUUUAUUCCCCCUUUUUCACAUAUUUUGUAUCAGGUUAAAAUAGUUUAUUAUUUAAAAUGUUAAAUUAAUUUAAAACAACAAAAACAGAUUCCAUAAAUAUGUGAAAUUAAAGUGCUAGAAACCUACCUCUGCCCCCACUGAAUAUUUGUAAGUGGAGCUGCUCCAGUUUUAUGAAGACCUCGGGUAUUAUUGAGGCCUCAAUACCACAUGGAAGUUGCAAAACUAUUGUAUAAUGUUCUUCACUUCCUUUUUAUCUAUUGCUGCCUGUCUCUCUUUGGGUCAUCGCCUUGUCCCUACAUAUGGAAGAUAGCUUGAGAAUCAUUGCAGACUGAACUUUGCACCCAAGACUACUCUUCCUAUUUGGACCCUGACUUGGUUUUCUGGAGUUAACCUUCAAAAAAUUCCCAUAUGUUUUUACUCUUUGAGGUGUUUUAGACAUGUAUAGUUUCUGUAUUUGACACUAUGCUCAGUUUUCCCAAAAUACACAACCUGAGACGAAAACUUGUAGGCAGGUAUGUUAUCAGGAGAUGGGGAAACAUGGAGUCUGGAAGGAGAGACAGUCCAGCCCAGCAUACUUUGUUGAACAGCAGGCAAUGGGCUCCGUGUUGCUGGGCACCUUAGGCAUCAGCCCAGUGGUGUGAAAUUCUCCACUCCUGCUAUGAGGCUGAAGAUGCUCCCCCAGACAUCUCAUCAAUGCACAGUGGAAGCCAAGGAGAUCCAGGGUGGAACCAAGAGAUACACAGUGUAGGUAAGACCAGGGUCUCUAGGCCUGCAAAGGUGAUUAUGGCAGCACUGGCCACAGGGAAGGUGACUGCGGAGAUAAACAUAGUCCAGCAUGGAUAUUCUGCUCCUUUGAGAAUGUGAUUAUAUUUUGUUUAUUU
rnacentral:lncRNA from 1 species